rnacentral:sRNA from 1 species
GACCACCACUCUGAAUGUAGUGCACACUUAAGAAUUUAUAUGGAUCAGCGUUGAGGCUGAGACAUGUUCUUUUAUAACUUGUGACGUAGCGAGCGUUUGAGAUAUCUAUCUAAACGUGUCGUUGAGGCUAAGGCGGGGACUUCGAGUCCCUAAAUAAUUGAGUCGUAUGUUCGCGUUGGUGGCUUUGUACCCCACACAACACGUACAUGUAACUCCGAGGCAACUUGGGGUUAUAUGGUCAAGCGAAUAAGCGCACACGGUGGAUGCCUAGGCGGUCAGAGGCGAUGAAGGACGUGGUAGCCUGCGAAAAGUGUCGGGGAGCUGGCAACAAGCUUUGAUCCGGCAAUAUCCGAAUGGGGAAACCCACUGCUUCGGCAGUAUCCUGCAGUGAAUUCAUAGCUGCUGGAAGCGAACCCGGUGAACUGAAAUAUCUAAGUAACCGGAGGAAAAGAAAUCAACCGAGAUUCCCUAAGUAGUGACGAGCGAACGGGGAGCAGCCCUUAAGCUGGAAUGGCUUUAGAAAAACAAUCUGGAAAGAUUGGCCAUAGAAGGUGAUAGCCCUGUAUUUAAAAGGGCCACUCCAGUGAAGACGAGUAGGGCGGGGCACGUGAAACCCUGUCUGAAUAUGGGGGGACCAUCCUCCAAGGCUAAAUACUCCUGACCGACCGAUAGUGAACCAGUACC